UUAAGUUACUAAGGGCGUACAGUGGAUGCCUUGGCACCGAAAGACGAUGAAGGACGCGACUACCUGCGAUAAUCCUCGGCGAGCUGGAAGUAAGCUUUGACCCGAGGGUCUCCGAAUGGGGAAACCCGAUGCGCGUUAUGGCGCACCACCUGACCGGCCAAUACAUAACCGGCAGGAGACAACCCUGGGAAUUGAAACAUCUAAGUACCAGGAGGAAAAGAAAGAGAAUUCGAUUCCGUCAGUAGCGGCGAGCGAAAGCGGAAGAGCCUAAACCACCUUGAGUGGGGUUCGGGAUCACAUCAGUAUAAGUAGACACAAGGAGAAUUACCUGGAAUGGUAAGCCAAAGAGGGUGAAAGCCCCGUACCUGUAAAAAUGCUACUUGUCGUGAUUUCCAGAGUACGGCGGGACACGUGAAAUCCUGUCGGAAUGUGCGGAGACCACUCCGUAAGGCUAAAUACUCUUCGGUGACCGAUAGUGAACCAGUACCGUGAGGGAAAGGUGAAAAGAACCCCGGGAGGGGAGUGAAAAGAAUCUGAAACCGUAUGCCUACAAAAAGUCAGAGGGCGUUAAAGCCUGAUGACGUGCCUAUUGAAGAAUGAGCCGGCGAGUUAUGAACACAUGCGAGGUUAAGGAGAAGAUCCGGAGCCGAAGCGAAAGCGAGUCUUAACAGGGCGACAGUAUGUGUUUGUAGACCCGAAACCCGACGAUCUAGCCAUGAUCAGGAUGAAGUAAGGGUAAAACCUUAUGGAGGUCCGAACCGACGUUCGUUGAAACGCCCGCGGAUGAAUUGUGGCUCGUGGUGAAAUUCCAAUCGAGUCGGGUAAUAGCUGGUUCUCCCCGAAAUAGCUUUAGGGCUAGCCUUGGGACAUUGUUUAGUGGGGGUAAAGCACUGAAUAUGAGCGAGCCGCGCCAAGCGGUAUCAAUCAUAAUCAAACUCUGAAUCCCAUUAGAUGUACCCCAGGAGUCAGACUACGGGAGAUAAGUUCCGUGGUCAAGAGGGCAACAGCCCAGACCGCCGAUUAAGGUCCCUAAAUUCACGCUAAGUGUCAAAGGAUGUAGAGAUACUCAAACAGCUAGGAUGUUGGCUCAGAGGCAGCCAUCAUUUAAAGAAUGCGUAACAGCUCACUAGUCAAGUGUCUCCGCGCCGAAAAUUUACCGGGGCUAAGCGUGAUACCGAAAUCGCGGAUGAAUCCUAAAAAUUCGUGGUAGGGGAGCGUUCUGUUUGCAGUGAAGCCAUAUCGUGAGGAGUGGUGGAGCGUACAGAAGCGAGAAUGCCGGCGUAAGUAACGAUAAAGGGUGAGAAUCCCUUUCACCAAUUGACUAAGGUUUCCUGGGCAAGGUUCGUCCUCCCAGGGUUAGUCGGGACCUAAGGCGAGGCCGACAGGCGUAGUCGAUGGACAGCAGGUUGAUAUUCCUGCACCCGAGCACGCAGUGAUGCAAUGACGAAAACGGCUAUGCUCACCUCCGAUCGGAAGUGGAGGGCAGAGCGUAGGAGUCGAUUCCUUGUUAAGUACGGGAAUCAUUAAGACAAAGACGUGCGGUAUGAAAGUCGCGAGACGAGUAAGAAACAGCAGACGCCGAUUUCCAAGAAAAGUUGCUAACGUUAAACGUGUUCGGCCCGUACCGAGAACGGACACACGUGGUCAAGGAGAAUAUCCUGAGGUGAGCGAGAUAACUGUUGUUAAGGAACUCUGCAAAAUAACUUCGUAAGUUAGCAAGAAGAAGUGCUCCAGCGAUGGAGCCGCAGCGAAUCGGCCCAAGUAACUGUUUACCAAAAACACAGCUCUAUGCUAAGUCGCAAGACGAUGUAUAUGGGGUGACGCCUGCCCGGUGCCGGAAGGUUAAAAGGAGAGGUUAGGAGCAAUCCGAAGCUUUGAAUUGAAGCCCCGGUGAACGGCGGCCGUAACUAUAACGGUCCUAAGGUAGCGAAAUUCCUUGUCAGGUAAGUUCUGACGUGCACGAAUGGUGUAAUAAUUUGGGCGCUGUCUCGACAGCAGACUCGGUGAAAUCUUAAUACCGGUGAAGAUGCCGGUUACCCGCGACUAGACGGAAAGACCCCAUGGAGCUUUACUAUAACUUAAUAUUGAGUAAAUGCGAAUCUUGUACAGUAUAGGUGGGAGACUUUGAAGUCGGGGCGUCAGCUUCGAUGGAGUCGCCGUUGGGAUACCACUCUGGAUUUGCAUUUAUUCUAACUCCUACCCUGGAUGGGCGGGAGGACAGUGUUAGGCGGGUAGUUUGGCUGGGGC
rnacentral:rRNA from 1 species